GCUUUAAUAGUCAAAGUUUAAUGAUGCUAGAUUGCAAUUCUAGAGUUGGAAUUAAUUUUUCCUUAAAGCU
rnacentral:tRNA from 1 species